rnacentral:rRNA from 1 species
UACGUAAGGGGCAAGCGUUGUUCGGAAUUAUUGGGCGUAAAGGGCGCGUAGGCGGAACGGUACGUCUGGUGUUAAAGAUCCCGGCCCAACCGGGGGAAAGCGCUGGAAACUGCCGAUCUUGAGUCCAGGAGGGGGAGCUGGAAUUCCAGGUGUAGGGGUGAAAUCUGUAGAUAUCUGGAAGAACACCGGUGGCGAAGGCGAGCUUCUGGCCUGUGACUGACGCUGAGGCGCGAAAGCGUGGGGAGCGAAC